rnacentral:lncRNA from 1 species
AUGUUCAAAGAGAAAUACGGACAACAAGGAACGAAGGACUUCCGCCGUUUGGAGCGAUUACACCAGAAACGCGCACGUCUAAGAAACCACCUUCGCUUCUGUUUAAGAUGCCGGGACGAAAACAUCACACCCACAAGCCUACAGCUGAAAACACCGAUCCGGACCAAGACAGCACAAAAUAUAAUAGAAAGAGCACAGAGAGCACUGCUCAAGGAGAGGAUAAGGAACGUCAUAACCAAACAGAGGCGUGUGGAGGACGAACUGGAAAGAGGACACCUGGACUUGAAAAGGAAUUACAAACUUGAUAAACAAAUGGAGGAACUAAUUAAAGGACACAUGAUGGAAAAACAGGAAAAAGAGUUCAUAAAAGUAAAAGAAAGACACAUAAAGAAGUUAAACAGACUCAUAAACAAGAAAAAGAGGGGAGAAAUACAAGGCAACUCCACACCAAACUCAUGGGUAUGUAACAUUUCACAAUACAAACUAACAGAAGCAGAAGAGAGCAUAUUAAAGAAAGGUUUAAACUUUGCAGUCACACCAAAAGAAAUACCAUAUGAUGAAUUUAUUGUAGCAACAGAACUAGCAUGUCAACAGAUCACAGAUGAGGGAAAGAAAGCAGAACUCAGAAAUAACGUAGUUGGGAUAUUAAAAAACAGCCAAAUUCAACACAGCAAUAUUACAAAAGAAGAACAAUCAGCCAUGACAGCUUUAUCCAAAAAUGAACAGAUAAUUAUUCUACCGGCAGAUAAAGGAAGAACCACAGUAGUUAUGGACAGAGAAAAAUAUAAACAACAGAUGAAACAGAUGCUAGAAGACAAAAAUACAUAUGAAAUACUUAAAAAAGAUCCAACAGAAAACAUUAAGAAAAACAUGAAAAAAUUACUGAAGCCACUGCACGAAAAAGGCAAAAUAACAGAAAAAAUGUACAAACACUGGAUUCCCACAGCAAACAUAACACCAAGAAUAUAUGGAACACCAAAAAUACAUAAACAAAACACCCCACUUAGACCAAUAGUUGACAGCAUAGGUACACCAACAUACAACAUGGCAAAAGAUAUCAGCAGAAUCAUCAGCCCGUUAUUAGGAAAUACAGACCAACACUGCAAAAAUAGUAUAGAAUUGGCAAAAGAACUAAAGGAAAUUACAAUAGAAGACAACGACAUACUCAUCUCACAUGACGUCACAUCUCUGUUCACAAAAACACCAACCCAAAAAACCAUAGACAUAGUAGUUAACAGAAUCAGACAAAUCGGAAGAGAAACAAGUCUUACACACAAAGAUGUUUAAAAGCAGGAGUACAAAUUAUUUUUGUUUUCUUGAAGUUCUUUAGAACAGUGCUUGAUGUGUUGCUUUUUGAGAUCGUUUAGCCCUCUCUAUGUAGUCAGACUGGACCUAGUGAAGCGACAGUCUAUCGCUACAGACCAUCCAGCCCGGGUGAAGCUGGAUGAAUUUCACUCAGCUUUCCUGAAAACAAGGUGAAUCACACCAAAAGUUUAAUGGGGAGGGCAAUUUCUUUGUUCCCUUUAAUAAAUUAAAUCAUCAUUAAAAUAUGUUAGUGUAGAUCAGGGGUAGGCAUUCAGUUAGGUGUGCUGGAGCUAAAGCCUGUUGGACAGCAGCACCCCAGGACCAGGACUGCUUACCGCUGGUGUAGAUUCAACGGUAAUAGAAACAAAAAGGUGAGAAAAAUAUUAGAAGUACGCUUUCCUUUUUAAAUGUUUUUUCAAAAAUGGAUUUCAAGAUUACAUGAAAUCCUCUCAGCAUCCAGACUCUGAUCCUUACUAAAGGAGGAGAAGAAAACGAGUCAUGAUGACAAAACCGUGCCAUCCGUUUGGCAGCAAACACCGGAACAGUUAAGGUGGGAAUCCAUGAAAACUCAAUCGCCACAUUUGUGCUUUUUUUCUCCUGAGCGUCGUCAGUGUGUGUUGCAGUGAAUGAAACAAGAUGUACUCACACAAUGGGAGAGACAUAAAUCAAGCUUGUUCUGUGGCAAAUGAUCAAUUAAUUCAUUUAAACAUGUUUAUGUUCCACUUUCUGUCCUUCUAUUACAAACAGGAGAUAACACCGAGACCUCAGAUCAGGACUGUGUUCGGCUACGAGGACGAUACCAGAUUUCUGCACGGCUAAUUACAGGCUAGAGGGGGUACGAGUUCAGCCAAACAGCUUAAAAACACAUCAGAGAGAAAUGCUUCUUCUCCCUUCAAAGCUUUGUGAAUGCACGUCUCUUCAAACCGCCCACUGCUAAUAUGCUGUACCACUGAAAGGAGCCAUGAUAAGUGAAAUGAGUUAAAUGACUGUCGGAUUCCCCGUGCACGUGUCUCUGCACGUUCUACUGCAGGAUCUGCUUUCAGAUCUGUCUGUAGGACAAGCUAAAAGAAUGUAAAUGCAAAGUAAUGGAUGAUGAUUCAUUCACUAAAAUGUGUGGGAGCUUUUUUUGUUGUUGUUUGUUUUGGGGAAUAGUUUAAGAUUUUGGUUUUAGGAUAGAUCAAAAUUAUUAUUGAUUUAGGCCAAACUGUUAGACUGGGUGUCCAGCUCCGGUCUCCUGAGCAUAAAUCAUGUGUUUUUAACCAUUUUCCUCCUCCUACAUGUGCAGACAGUGUCGUUCUUGCAUAAAUAUCCAGACACCAACUCUAAUGGACACUUUACCUAAAAGGACACCAGCAGGUCUGACUUCACAGCAGAUUUAAGUGUCCUAGAAAUAAGAGGUUGGACAGACAGAGUUAAAUACACCUCAAGGUGCAGGCCUCCAGCGGACACAGGGAUGUGGAUGUCUACUGUUGUAACGAGUGCUGAAACCAAUUUCGUCUGAGGCUAAGGAGAAGAAUUUUCCUCCAAAAUUUGCUUCAAAAAAUGAAUGAAUCUGUGAAAUCCUUGAACAAAUAUCACAAAAAUGCAAAAACUAGAUACUUCCAGGAAAGGGGUUGUUUAUUUUUGUUUAUAACUAAAACAAUCUGAAUGGAAAAGACUUGAAAUCUUAGAGACUAACCCGACCCAGCCCCUUUUCCUUCACACACACACACACACACACACACACACACACACACACACACACACACACACACACGCACGCACACACACGCACACACACAUCAGGUAGACGGUUGGAAAUCCAAGCUACUUAUGCUCACCUUGGGAAAUGUCGGAGCUGGUCUGAAUAUAUUGAGCGUUUGCUUCCCACACCUGCUGGUUUUUGCCACUUUUAUCUCAGAGCAUCUCCCCAGAAGAACAGGAGGAUAUUCCAAGAAGCUAUGAAAGCAGAAUGCAACAGAAAAUACGUUUAUGAAUUUGUGAUAACUUUUAAACACAAAUAUUCCCAGAGGGGUUCACAGGUAACCAGAGUGCCGUGAUCUGCUGACAUCUGAUACCGCUAAGGAGACGUCGCUCUGUUUUCUGGUCUACGGGAUGCCUUUCGCAUUCAACAUGCUAACCCGUUCCACCGUCCCGGAGCUCCAGUUACCGCCUUCUCCUUCUCUUUGUGCAUGUCUGCAUUCAGCACGGAGAGAGAUAAUAUUUAAGGGCCUGAGGCAGGAUUUACCUGUUUUCACUGCUUAGUGGCUUGUUAUAAGUGUGUGUGUGUGUGUGUGUGUGUGUGUGUGUGUGUGUGUGUGUGUGUGUGUGUGUGUGUGUGUGUGUGUGUGCAUGUGUGCGUGCGUGUUUGUUUGUGAGAAAGUGUGUUUGUGUGUGUGUGUGUGUGUGUGUGUGUGUGUGUGUGUGAGAGAGAGAGAGAGAGAACAGGGUAAAUUACACGUGGAUGUUUACUCAGAACUAACGUAACAUCCACUUUCUCAGAACAUAAAUUUCUGCCAUAAUUAAAAACUUCACAGACGAUCAGCGAGGAAGAGCCUGAUGUGCAGGACAGCAUUUGAUCUGCCUGCAACUUUCCACCAAAUAAAUAGAGGGUAUCGGCUUUCCCACAGAGCCCACUAAUUGAAUGAGCGUCCUCAUUUUAUUUUCUUUUUGUGAGUGCCACUUUGAAUCAUAUCAGUGUAGGUUUGAUAAUGUUGAUUUGUGUGGCAUGAAGAAACCACAGCUGACUGAAAUACUUGGUCUUUGAAUUCUAAUCAGAUUGGUUUCCAGUAAAAAUAUUUGCCCAAUCAAUGGCUUUCCUCCAGAGAGAAAGCCAAACAGUCAUCACACCACGGGUCAUUAGGCAGAGUGGGCACAUGCCUCAGAAAGCCCCUUAAGUAAAAAGGUACACAACAGAACUGGGUACGUCAGUGGAAACAGAACCUCGUUACUGUAAGAGAACGUAAUAACUGAGAACGGCUUCAGGCCGAGUUUACACAAAACUCUGAUUAAAAUACUGGAAAAGAACGGUGCCAGUGAUAGAGCCUCUAACUGGGUGUUUUUUCCUCUGAGUGAAAAAUAGAAAACAGUUACAUUCAGUGAGAUUUUAGGCAGAAGAGAAAUGGAAUGAAGGUCAGGUAGCACCUGUUUAACAUCAGCAGCUAACAGCAGGAACUUGAAUCAAACCAUCUGGGUUCAGCGCUGCCCAUCAGAUUACUGCUUGGCAUGCAGUGUGUGUGUGUGUGUGUGUGUGUGUGUGUGUGUGUGUGUGUGUGUGUGUGUGUGUGUGUGUGUGUGUGUGUGUGUGUGUGUGUGUGGGAGGGGGAAAGACACAAAUUUAUAGGAAAAUGCAACAAAGAAAAAGUCCAAAUAGUUUGUUUGUUAGUGGAAAUUUCUGUUGGGGUUAAAGCUUUCAUUCCAUCCAGCGCAUGCACGGGUGUCUGCACAGAUAGUAAACGUCCAGCUGAAUAACGCGAGCCUCGUAAAAACUGGAGGCACUCAAACGACUUCUUCCACUCACAUGUUGCAGAAUCGGGGCUCUUUGUGGGAAUCUUUCGGUUUAUUUAUGUGUUUCGUCUCUCUUUUUCAUUGAGGAACAUAAGAUAUUUCUGAUGCUCCUAAUUUUACAUAAACAUGUAAACAAUCACAAUCAGAGACCUACAGUAAUAUUAAAAGGGAGGAGUGUGUUAAGAUAUCAGCUGGCAGAAAGUUUGUUUUGAUUUCCCAAGAACGUUGAUGUGAUGGGUUUUUGCAUCUGGACCAGUGCCUGCUCUUCUCAGAGAUGGAUCAUUUCACUCCCGUCUCUCUGACACAAACUCACCUUUAAGGAAGUCCAGUCAAACGAGGAGGAAAGUUAAAAAUCAAUCAUGUUACUGUCACAAAAAAAGUGAGCUAAAAAAGUGAGCUAGAAGGUGUGAGAUACAUCUCACAUGCAUGCUCCUGGAAUGUUUGACCUUAACCCUCUCAGGCUCAAAAAAAGUUCUGACAAAAGGACGAACAACUAAGUCCUUCAGGGGUUCUGAGUUAAAAAAUGAUCAUGCUGAGUUAAUAAAUUCUACUCAUGUGGAGUAACCAGAUAGGUAGGUUUCAACGUUGCAAAUCUGCAACGCCUGCUUCCAGAGGGUUUAAAAUUCUUAUAUGCCAAAUUUACACUCAUAAAAAGGGGUUUUGGUGACUUUGUUUAGCAGGAUUGUUGAAACGUCUUUUUGUUUGUUUGUUUUGUUUUUGUGUUGCAAUGAAACAAGAAGUUAAAGCCUCCAUCUGAAGUAUUUUUACCUGUUUACUAUCAAGUUUGGUGUAUCCAGUCCACAUACUUGUCCCUUUUUAUUAAUAUUUCUCACAAACAUCAAUACUAAUUAUUCCUCUCAGCUAUAAAUGUUAUCUUUUUAAAUACCUAAACUGUGGUCAACGCUCCAUGGUCAUCCACCAUCUGGAGAUACAGAAGCUAUUUAGGGACAUACAAGCUCUGCGUUAAGUGUGCUGGAGCAGGGAAACAACUUAAACAUGCUGGACAGGAACCCAAGAGGACCAUGGCUGAACACCAGUGGUGUAGAUGGCCUGUAUUUGAUAUAGCGCCAUCUAGAGUCCUGGAACCCCCCAAGGCGCUUUACAACACAAUCAGUCAUUCACCCAUUCACACACACAUUCACACACUGGUGGGGAU